GGGAGAGUGCGAUGUUGGCAUGGUUCAAUCAAACCGUGCAAACUUCUGCACUGGUUUAUUAGCAGGGGCCAAGGUGCGGUGAUAUGCAGUAUGGUUAGUUUGUUUGGUCUGAUUGAGCCGUGCCAAUAUCACAAGCUUGCCU
rfam:Leersia perrieri chromosome 3, whole genome shotgun sequence.